rnacentral:rRNA from 1 species
GAUGAACGCUGACAGAAUGCUUAACACAUGCAAGUCUACUUGAACUUCGGUUUGGGUGGCGGACGGGUGAGUAACGCGUAAAGAACUUGCCUCACAGAUAGGGACAACAUUUGGAAACGAAUGCUAAUACCUGAUAUUAUGAUUUUAGGGCAUCCUAGAAUUAUGAAAGCUAUAUGCACUGUGAGAGAGCUUUGCGUCCCAUUAGCUAGUUGGAGAGGUAACGGCUCACCAAGGCGAUGAUGGGUAGCCGGCCUGAGAGGGUGAUCGGCCACAAGGGGACGGAGACACGGCCCUUACUCCUACGGGAGGCAGCAGUGGGGAAUAUUGGACAAUGGACCAAGAGUCUGAUACAGCAAUUCUGUGUGCACGAUGAAGUUUUUCGGAAUGUAAAGUGCUUUCAGUUGGGAAGAAAAAAAUGACGGUACCAACAGAAGAAGUGACGGCUAAAUACGUG